ACAAUAAUUCACAAAUACAAACGAAACGCUACAGUAUGCUACAGUGCUGGUACAGUGAUUUUGGUUGUCCAAAAUCAGGCAACUAAACAGGACCCAACACAGGCAUGGCCAACUAGCACAAGAUACACCGAAUGUGUUCCAACAGAAGCUUCUCAUUCCUCCUCAGCCAAUUAGCAUUAGAAAACCAUCAGGAGAGAGGAGGGGAAACAAAAGAACAAAAGGAGAGGAGCCAGGAGGAAGCCAUGAGCUCAAGCUCCACACAUCCGAGAGAGCACCAGGAGAGGGAGAGGAAAGGAGGAGAAGGAUGGCGGGGAAGCUGGAGGGAUGAGCUGACCAGGAGGAUCGAGGCAACGGCCGCAGCCACAUGCUUGUGCUCGUGACCGCGACAGAACCUGUCACAAGAGCAAAGAGCGUUACAUGAUGUCCGGAGCUGAACAUCUUCCAGUGAUUCGAG